UACGAGGGGGGCGAGCGUUGUUCGGAAUUAUUGGGCGUAAAGGGUGCGUAGGCGGUUUGAUAAGUCUGAUGUGAAAUCUAUGGGCUCAACCCAUAGUCUGCAUUAGAAACUGCCGGGCUUGAGUGUGGGAGAGGUGAGUGGAAUUCCUGGUGUAGCGGUGAAAUGCGUAGAUAUCAGGAGGAACACCUGUGGCGAAAGCGGCUCACUGGACCAUAACUGACGCUGAUGCACGAAAGCUAGGGGAGCAAACAGG
rnacentral:rRNA from 1 species